GACACGUAUCGAGUUGCAAUUUGAAGGAAGUGCCUUUGUCCUAUUUAUCUAACAAGUGCGGCAAUUUCCUUUCAUUUCUUCAGCUACGGCAGAGAAUCGUUACAAACCCUAGAAGCACGACACCAAAUUAUGUCAAAUCUGCCAUGGGACAUGCUCGCCGAAAUCCUCUGCCGGCUACCCGCCAAGAAACUUCUUUGCUUCAGGUGCGUAUCUAAACUAUGGCGAGCUUUAAUAGAUGGUCCCAAUUUCAUCAAUUUACAUCUCAAGCACUCCUUAGCUACGAGCUCUAAUCUACACAUCAUCGUUAAGAAUUCAGAGCUUUGCUCUGUAGAUUUCGAUUUGUUGGAUAACCUCAAACAACUGGAGCAUCCUUUGAUGUGCUAUAAUCAUAGCAUCAAAAUCUUGGGUUCCUGUAAUGGGUUGCUUUGCAUUUGCAAUGUUGUGGAUGAUAUUGCUCUUUGGAACCCAUCUAUUAGAAAGUACCAUGUUUUACCCUACUUAUCCAUCGAGCUCAAUCGCUAUUUUGGGACUUGUUCGUGUAGAGUUUGUGUCUUUGGACUUGGGUAUGAUCAAAAUAAGGAUGACUUUAAGGUGGUUAGGAUUGCACAGUUUACAGGAGUGGAUAAGAAAAGCAUCGAGUCUGAGGUCAAGGUUUAUAGUUUGAGAAGAAAUUCUUGGAGAAGGAUCGGAGAUAUGCCUUAUUUUGUUCUCUAUCCUGGAGCCAAUGGGAUGUUUGUCAGUGGCGCUUUGCAUUGGCUUGUGAGCCAAAGUCCUGAAUCAAAUGUUGCAGAUGUAAUUGUUGCUUUGGAUUUAGGGGUUGAGGAUUACAGGGAAGUGCCACAGCCUGAAGGUAUGGGUAAAAACUUUAAAAUGGAUAUGGGGAUUCUUCAUGGAUGCCUAUGUUUGCUUGGAAAUUUUCAGGGUCAGAAUACUGAUGUGUGGGUGAUGAAGAAGUAUGGGGUCAAGGAGUCCUGGACUAAAUCAUUUUCAAUUUCUCAGCAUGAAGUUAUUGGGAGUCUGAGACCCUUUAAACCUCUAGCAUAUUCAAGGAGUGGCAAUGCAGUUCUCAUGGAACACGACAACAUAAACCUUUUCUGGUAUGAUCCAAGCAAGAAGGAAGCGGAGAAUGUUUUGAUUCAGAAUAUGCCAAUUACCUUCGAAACAGAACUUUAUGUUGGAAGCCUCGUUCCAAUUAAUGCAAAUAGAUUUCUUCAAGAGAGCGCACAUGAGGAGACAAAUACUAAUAAUCGGAGGGAUGAUUUCUUGUCUAAGGGCUUCAAAUUACUAUUGUAAACCAAUUUAAGAAGAUCAAGUGAUGAAGCAGAAAAGAGGGCUGAAACUGGUGAACAGGUAUAUAUGUAGUUGAGCAUAUGAUUAAUUCUGAAGUAGAAGCAAAGAAGGGUUAAUGAUCUACGCUCUUAAGAUGUCUUCCUUUUGUUUAAUGAAAGCUAUCUGGUCAGGGUCUAAUGGAACUGAUAUUUGCAGAAAGUUUCCACAUUGCAAGGAAUUUGGAUAUUUUGGUUGAGAGCUCUCAAUGAUGUAAAUAAAAAUGGGUUGAUGUUUGUUCUCGUUGGUUGAUUGUUUACGAACUGCAAUUGGAAGGUUUUAUAUUACGGCCUAAGUGUGACGAUCACAGUUGGACUAUAAUCCUGAAUUUGUUCAGAAAAUUCAAGUAUCAAGCUGCAUGUGUAUAUUUCAUGAAAGUUGCUGCCUGUAAUAUUAGAUAGAAAGAAAGAAAGAAAGAUGUUCUGUGGAUAUGUUGUGAUGGAUACUUGGAUUGUAAAGAUAACACGUCAAGUUUCUGCCUGUAAUAUUAUCAAAUUGGUUUUUACUUUUACAAUGUCAGAAAAACAAUAUAUAUAUAUAUAUAUAUAUGUGAUUCGUCUAUGAAA